rfam:Nicotiana sylvestris Nsyl_contig103061, whole genome shotgun sequence.
CUGCACACGUUUAUUCAAAGGCUACGCUAAAAAUAUUGAAAUAGCGGAGCCUUGAGUGAAAGUGCAAAAAGGGAAUGCUGAUUUAAAUCAGCGGCGGCCAGACAACCGCUGAGAUGAAUCCACAGGUGGGUUCCUUUUUUUUAUAAUGGUACUUGUCUACUAAUUUCAUUUCACACUC